rnacentral:tRNA from 1 species
GGCGGGGGAGCUCAGCUGGUUAGAGCGUCGGAUUCAUAACCCGGAGGUCGAGGGGUCGAGCCCCUCCCCCGCUA